rnacentral:lncRNA from 1 species
AGAAAAAUGAAAUAAAAAAAUGGGGUCACCGUUCAUUUAAGCUCACAAUCUGCCUCCGGAAGAAGCAUACAUUUUUGUUUAUGUCCUUUUUUUCUGUUGAACUAUAAGGAGAAAUAAAGGUAAUAUCGAAAUAAAAAAAUAACCUAAUUACAGAAAUCGCUUAAAUUUUACAAUUAUUUAGUUUAUGUACAGCUUAUUUGAAAUCAAUAAUAAAAAAUAUAGGUCACCGAUGAGUUAAAAAAGAUAUUUCAAGUUUAAUGUCAAAAAAAAAAUGGCAUUUUUGCACCAAAGGGAGAUAAUUUGGAGCUUUUUCAAUGACAUAAACAUUUUAAAAGUCAUCUGGAGCCAAUCCGAAUCAAUUUUUUGGGUUGAUUUUUGUACCAU